rnacentral:lncRNA from 1 species
GUGAUAGCAGUUCAUUUUUUAUAACUAAAACUAAUUAUGAAAACGACUAGAAACUAAAUUAUUGACUAGAAAAUUAACUACUUGAAACAAAUUAAAUUGUCAUAUCUUUAAAGCACAUAGUCUUUCAAAUAGGCUGGUUCUCUGGUAGUACGUUUUGGUCUAGUUAUCGGAUUGACACAAUUUUGUUCCUUUUCAAUUGGUUCGCACUCGCUAACUAAAUUGUCUGAGUUCAUUUGCAGUUCUGCAGUAAUUGGUGCUUCUGUCGGUACAGAAGUUUUUGUUUCUGAAAUGUUAUCAAAGUUCAAUAGUUCCCGUUGUGGUGAUACAUCACGGAUUUGUACAUUUACACUUGUCGGUCGCAUGUGAGAUCGAUUACGUCUGUACGGAACUCCUUCCUGACUUUUAACUAUGUAUGCUCUUUCGCUUAAUCUUUCUUUUACUUUUCCCAAUUUCCAGUGCUGUCCUUGUUUGUGUUCGAAAUACACUGAGUCACCAGAUCCUAACGGUGGUAAGUUCUUAGCACGUUUGUCAUAACAUUUCUUGACAGAUUGUUUCCUUGUUGAUCGUGAUUCUGUGGUUUUCGCAUUCGGUACUUUUUGCUGUGUGUUAAUUUAUGGAAUCAUCGAACGGGUUUUUCUUCCGAACAUUAUUUCGGUCGGACUGAGACCAGUUUUCUGAGUAGGUGUGUUUCGCAAUUCAAGAAGAGCCUCGUAUUGAUCACGACCAUCUUGAAGAGUUUUCUUGAUCAUAUUCUUAAUCACUUUAACGGCGGAUUCGGCUUUUCCGUUUCCUUGAGGAUGAUUUGGAGACGACACCGUAUGAUUUAUUCCCCAUUUUGUUGCAAAUUGUCGAAAUUCAUCGGAACUAAACUGAGGUCCAUUAUCGGAU